UUCUUUAGGAGAGAGAGAGAGAGAGAGAGAGAGAGAGAGAGAGAGAGAGAGAGAGGAUUGAGGAGAAUAACAAUCACAGGAAUCCAUCAUGUCACAACUGAUUUAAUUGUGUUUUACUUGAUCCUCACAAUGAAAUACUGAAGGCAUAAAGAAAAUUGUGGCUAAUUGUCAAUGAUCCAUGAGGAAGAGGAGCCCAGUGUUUUAAAGGACAUGCACGMGGUCACUCAAAUGGUUCAAAAAGCAAUGUGGCCAGCUGAUAAUGGACAGAAGCCUCUGAAACCUAGGAGGGAAUGGAGAUAGAGAAGAUUUGAGAAGAGAGAGGAAGGGAAGAGGAGACCCACUCUUAAUAGAGCUGCUCAGGAAUGAACCCACAGAAACUUCUUUCCUGGCUCAUUUGGUCCCAUUKUACUGCUGGCUGCUGGUGAACCAGGAGGAGGUUCAAUUGCUCUUCAAAUCCAAGUCACAACAGGAAUUCUGAAUCAGAUAGAGGAAAUACGAAUUGUGUCCAUCCUAUAGAUGAAGAAUGGAGAGAAUUGCCUCACAUGCAAUGGAAUGGCACAAGGAUUCAAGGCUGGGGACUUUGUGACAUGCCAAAAAUGUACAUGAAGAAGGACAAAGGGAAGGAAAGGGAAUAAGGCUCUCCUUUAGACUGUAUGCAAGGAGUUACGUGCUGGAUACUAAUUUUUGUGAGACUAAGAGGAGGGUUUAUAUCUGAAGCUGGUCUUCCAUGCCUCAUCCACCUCCUGUGGAACUGUAUUUUCAUAGCCUGAUGCCAGGUUCCUUACCUCUGCCAUCCCAUCACUGAUGGUCAGUCUCAUUUGUGCUGAAAUGACCUGAGCUUUGGGUCUAGAUGUCAAAAUAUUUAUUCCCCAAUUUCACUUGCAAUUCUUGAGAGGUAACAGAAACCCAUCAGAACAUCACUGCUACCUUUUAUGGGAUACAAAGAUCCUAGUCUGUUGAGACCCAGGGACCAUGUGGGUUAUCAYUAAUCUGUUGUUCCCUGUGAUCCUUUUUACACCUUACUUCUGCAGACCACAGCCAAAGGAGUCUUUCUUAAUGAUAUUCAACAUUUAUUCAUCAAAUUCUUAUUCAUCACCUACUAUUGUGCCAACAAGGGCACCAAGUGACCAAGUAUCAAGGAAAGGUGACCCCUUCCCAUACCCUCAGCUACCAGCUGGGUAUUACCUAAUGAGAAGGCCCAUUGAGAAUAAAAAUGGUGCAUCUUUACAAUCUAAGUUCCCAGAAACACCAGGACCUGGGUUUGAAUCUUCUACCACUAGAUUUGCACCUGUGGACAAGUUUUCCUCAUCUGAAAAAUAGGAAUAUAUUCCUUUCAGAGCUACAGUAAGGAUUCAAAAUGUGCAAAAAGAAUGGAUUGUGAAGAAUGUGUUUCCUUCUCUCAAGGGACUUGGAGUCUAGUUGGAGCACUAAAACCACCACCACCACCACCACCACCAUCAUCAUCAUCAUCAUAAUAGGAUCUAUAACAAAUGCCUUUGAAAGUCAGAUAGGAGUUGAAAACAAGGAGGGAGGCAUCCCACCACAUUGUUACAUCUGCUCAGUUUUGUUCAACAUGCAUUUAUUAAGCUACCAUGGACUACCAUGGACCAGUCCAAUUCACAACUUCCAGAGUCAGGAAGACUUGGGUUGGAAUCCCAUCUCUACCACUUACCAGAGGUGUGACUUCAGGCAGUUACUUAAUAGCCCUCUGAGUUUGUUGCUGAGUUUCCUCAGAAUAAGGAUGUUAACAGUACCUGCCUUAUAGGUUGUUGUGAAGAAUAAAUAAAUUAAUGUAUAUACGGAGAAUAAAUAAAUUAAUGUAAUGCGGUCCUUGGCACACUGUAAGUGCUCAACAAAUUAUAGUUGCUACCAUAGUCAUGACCACCACCAUUGCUGGUGUGUGUGUUUAACCUAAGGAUUUAAAAAAUGAAUAAAAUAUGUUUCCUGCCCUCAAACCCCUCACAGUUUAAUAGAUUCUGGAAUUUAGUAACAGCCUUUCAUAAGUGAUCCAGGUGGAACAUGGCCUACCAUUCUAGAAAAGGAAAAGAUUUUCCUUUGGAAAUUUGCAAUAUUGUGACCUAGAGGAGGAGGGUCCUGGCUUUUACUUACCACACCCACUUUGUUUUUCUAGAGCUCCCUAUGAAACUGGGAUAGUGAUUAGAGUCUUCACUAGAUCUAUUGKUUUUUGCCAGGCUGAAACUUAGCCUUUUUAGGAGGCCCAGAUUUUGUGCCUUUUAUUAUACAUUUAUGCCAAGCUGUGGCUUAUAUUGUUCAGGGUGUUCCAAAGU